GUUUGUAAAUUUCUUUUUUCUUCAUCUUUGACUGGUUGACUGAGCUGUUGGUGAGCGGGCCCCCAUUGGUUGUCUCUUUGCCCUUAAAAACCGGAUCUUGAUGAGCAAUUAUUGGCAUGUGUUGCUUUGUUAAGUUUAAAGGGGAGCAGCUCAAAGCUUGUUGUUGUGGCAUCUUCAGGAGGCUGAAUUGCUAGGUUGUUCUUCUCUUGAAGCUUGGAGUUGGAGGGAGAUUCUCUUCACCGGCGGAUCCUCGGAGAGAUUAAAGAUCCAUACCGGGCUGUAGUUCACGGGACUUGGUGAGCCCAACUCUGUAGCUCGGAGCCAGGAGAAGAUCAAGUUUAGGUCCGGGGGUGUCGUAGAGUCG